UGGGGAAUAUUGCACAAUGGGCGAAAGCCUGAUGCAGCAACGCCGCGUGAGUGAUGAAGGUCUUCGGAUUGUAAAGCUCUGUCUUUUGGGACGAUAAUGACGGUACCAAAGGAGGAAGCCACGGCUAACUACGUGCCAGCAGCCGCGGUAAUACGUAGGUGGCGAGCGUUGUCCGGAUUUACUGGGCGUAAAGGGUGCGUAGGCGGAUGUUUAAGUGAGAUGUGAAAUACCCGGGCUUAACUUGGGUGCUGCAUUUCAAACUGGAUAUCUAGAGUGCAGGAGAGGAGAAUGGAAUUCCUAGUGUAGCGGUGAAAUGCGUAGAGAUUAGGAAGAACACCAGUGGCGAAGGCGAUUCUCUGGACUGUAACUGACGCUGAGGCACGAAAGCGUGGGUAGCAAACAGGAUUAGAUACCCUGGUAGUCCACGCCGU
rnacentral:rRNA from 1 species